rnacentral:rRNA from 1 species
UUGAACGCUGGCGGCAGGCCUAACACAUGCAAGUCGGACGGUAGCACAGAGAGCUUGCUCUCGGGUGACGAGUGGCGGACGGGUGAGUAAUGUCUGGGAAACUGCCCGAUGGAGGGGGAUAACUACUGGAAACGGUAGCUAAUACCGCAUAACGUCUUCGGACCAAAGUGGGGGACCUUCGGGCCUCACACCAUCGGAUGUGCCCAGAUGGGAUUAGCUAGUAGGUGGGGUAAUGGCUCACCUAGGCGACGAUCCCUAGCUGGUCUGAGAGGAUGACCAGCCACACUGGAACUGAGACACGGUCCAGACUCCUACGGGAGGCAGCAGUGGGGAAUAUUGCACAAUGGGCGCAAGCCUGAUGCAGCCAUGCCGCGUGUAUGAAGAAGGCCUUCGGGUUGUAAAGUACUUUCAGCGGGGAGGAAGGCGAUGGAGUUAAUAGCUUCAUCGAUUGACGUUACCCGCAGAAGAAGCACCGGCUAACUCCGUGCCAGCAGCCGCGGUAAUACGGAGGGUGCAAGCGUUAAUCGGAAUUACUGGGCGUAAAGCGCACGCCAGGCGGUCUGUCAAGUCGGAUGUGAAAUCCCCGGGCUUAACCUGGGAACUGCAUUCGAAACUGGCAGGCUAGAGUCUUGUAGAGGGGGGUAGAAUUCCAGGUGUAGCGGUGAAAUGCGUAGAGAUCUGGAGGAAUACCGGUGGCGAAGGCGGCCCCCUGGACAAAGACUGACGCUCAGGUGCGAAAGCGUGGGGAGCAAACAGGAUUAGAUACCCUGGUAGUCCACGCCGUAAACGAUGUCGACUUGGAGGUUGUGCCCUUGAGGCGUGGCUUCCGGAGCUAACGCGUUAAGUCGACCGCCUGGGGAGUACGGCCGCAAGGUUAAAACUCAAAUGAAUUGACGGGGGCCCGCACAAGCGGUGGAGCAUGUGGUUUAAUUCGAUGCAACGCGAAGAACCUUACCUACUCUUGACAUCCAGCGAAUUCGGUAGAGAUACCUUAGUGCCUUCGGGAACGCUGAGACAGGUGCUGCAUGGCUGUCGUCAGCUCGUGUUGUGAAAUGUUGGGUUAAGUCCCGCAACGAGCGCAACCCUUAUCCUUUGUUGCCAGCGGUCCGGCCGGGAACUCAAAGGAGACUGCCAGUGAUAAACUGGAGGAAGGUGGGGAUGACGUCAAGUCAUCAUGGCCCUUACGAGUAGGGCUACACACGUGCUACAAUGGCGCAUACAAAGAGAAGCGACCUCGCGAGAGCAAGCGGACCUCAUAAAGUGCGUCGUAGUCCGGAUUGGAGUCUGCAACUCGACUCCAUGAAGUCGGAAUCGCUAGUAAUCGUAGAUCAGAAUGCUACGGUGAAUACGUUCCCGGGCCUUGUACACACCGC